AUGGCUGAAUCCUUUGUGCUCAACACCGGCGCAAGGAUCCCAUCAGUUGGCCUCGGCACGGCGACGGGGAAAGCCGAACCCGGCGUCGUACGGGAGGCCGUCUACGCCGCCGUCAAGGCUGGAUAUCGGCAUAUCGACUGUGCUCCAGCGUACCGCAAUGAGAAGGAGAUUGGUCUCGCUCUCAAGAAAUUAUUUGAUGAAGGCGUGGUUAAGCGUGAAGAUCUAUUUAUCACUUCUAAGUUGUGGUCUGGUAAUCAAGCCCCAGAAGAUGUGCCAGAGGGCAUUGACACCACUCUUCAAGAUUUGCAGCUGGACUACUUAGACCUUUUCCUUAUCCAUGCUCCACUUCGUUCGAAAAAAGGUGCCAUCCCAACCCCUGAAAACUUUCUUCCUGUUGACAUUCCUGCUACUUGGGGAGCAAUGGAGAAGUUAUAUGCCUCUGGCAAGGCCCGUGCGAUCGGUGUGAGUAACUUUUCUUGUAAGAGGAUGGAGGAUUUGCUUGCCAUUGCAAGUGUACCUCCAGCAGUCAACCAGGUUGAGUGCCAUCCAGGUUGGCAGCAAAUGAAACUCAGGGAACUUUGCCAGUCAAAGGGUGUUCAUCUUUCUGCAUAUUCACCCUUAGGAAAACAUGGAUCCACGGGUCCAAGCUUUCUUAGCAAUCCCAUUGUCAUCUCCGUUGCGGAGAAGUUAAACAAAACUCCUGCGCAGGUUGCCCUACGCUGGGGUCUUCAAAUGGGCCAGAGUGUACUCCCGAAAAGCACGAAUGAAACAAGAAUAAAGGAGAACUUAAGCAUAUUUGACUGGUCUAUCCCUGAAAAUUUGAUGGCGAAUUUCUCUGAAAUUCAGCAGGUUAAGGUGCUAAGAGCUGAAUUUGUGGUUCACCCCCAAGGUAUUUUCAAAACCGUGGAGGAUUUUUGGGAUGGUGAAAUCUGA
rnacentral:rRNA from 1 species